GUUUGUUUGUUUUUUGUUUUUUUGUAGGAAUGACGCACUUAAUGACCCCUUGUUCACACAUCCAUUUUGCAACAUGUUUGAGUCAAGCUUUUUUGGUUCCACUAGCAAUCCAUUUAUGGAUCCGUGUGCUGGAUUUCUUGAACGUCAGCCCCUCACAACCCAGUAGAUCUAAUGGACCAAUUAUUGAAAAGUUGAAUAUAAUGAUGAAAAUGAAGGAAAUGAAAGAGGAAAGAACAAGAAUAAUAAUUCAAGAAAGCAUUAGAGGUCUAGCAAUAAAACUUUUGUUGAGGAUCCAGACGAUUAAGCUUCUGUAAGUUUUGUUUUUUGUUUUUAUCUAGCUUGCGGGAAUUUGGUUUCCACAUUACAUUGAUCUUUCGAGUGUUUGAUUAAAAUGGAUUGAUGUAUUGUCAUUUCAGAGAAAAGAAGUAAGCAAAUGGCUCCCACAAAUGAUUUUUUACUUGAUGCAAGUGUAAGGCUGCAGCCCAAAAAAGGAACUUCACUUUCCAAAGCUCCACGUUAAUUAUAGUGGUGCAAAUGGUGCAUAUUAGUCAUCGUCUAGAACAAGGACGAUGGGUAGUGAUGGAGUAAGUAAAAUUCAAGUAAAAGUGAUUCUCUUUUUGAAUUUUCUGUUGGGUUCGCUUCUUAAUUUUACUUUAUAACAGUGGAAGAACAUAAGCGAAUUCAUCUAUAGGUCAAGCAUCUCAUAUACUGUCAAGGGGGAUCUAUGAGAGUGUCAUCUAUGGUCCAUUGAUGUUCAUCAUGUCUCAUUUUUUUCAUAUAUAAAUUUGAGUUAUUAAUUUAUAUAUAUUCCAUCUACAAUACUAGAGGUAAAUAUGUUGUGCUAUUGUCGGGUCAUUCUGUGACACAAAAACAAAACUCAGAUGGUAGGAUAGACACAAUGUUAACCCUACAUAUCCUUAAUGAAGUUGUGCAUUACUAUUACAUGAUACUUUUUGUGUAACUUUCAGUACUUCACUGUCAAUUAGUUUUCUUCCUUGUUUAGAU
rnacentral:lncRNA from 1 species